rnacentral:rRNA from 1 species
CCUACGGGAGGCAGCAGUGAGGAAUAUUGGUCAAUGGGCGGGAGCCUGAACCAGCCAAGUCGCGUGAGGGAAGACGGUCCUAUGGAUUGUAAACCUCUUUAGGCGGGGAGCAAUGCCGGGCACGUGUGCCCGGAGGGAGAGUACCCGCAGAAUAAGCAUCGGCUAACUCCGCGCCAGCAGCCGCGGUAAUACGGAGGAUGCGAGCGUUAUCCGGAUUUAUUGGGUUUAAAGGGUGCGUAGGCGGAUUUUUAAGUCAGCGGUAAAAUGUCCGGGCUCAACCCCAGCCCGCCGUUGAAACUGGCAGG